CUUUGUUAUAGGUUAUAUAGUUGUAUAUACACAUGGUUUGAACAGGUUUAUAGAAAUAUUAAGAGUUCUGCAAGAUAUAAGGGUUAGUCAUGAAUGACAGGAAUAAAAUAAAAUUAAAUUCCUCAUUAGGGUGCUAAUCUAUGGAACAAGUGUAUCCAUUGCGAUUCUUGUUUCAGCAAUUUUAAAUUAAAAUUGCCCUUCCUGG